rnacentral:lncRNA from 1 species
UACCCUAGUCCCUAACACAUCCUCCAUCUGCAUCUCUCCUCUCAGAAAUACUUGUUCACUCAUCAUUACCAGGUGGGACACCAUCCAUAGAGUCACCUUUUAACAAACUUCUCCCCAUCAUCAUAGGGAUUAAUAUCAUCCUCAAGAAAGACCCUUCUCUGUGUCUCUGGUAUUCAAGCUAAGUGACCUUACAUGUGCGUCAUUCAUGCGGACUAGUGGCCUUGUGAGAAGAGAGAGCAACACCAGCAAUGCACAUGCAAAGAGGAAAGGCCCUGCAAGGAUGCUAAGAACGAGGACGGCCAUCCGCCCACCAAGGAGAGAAGUAUCAGGAGGAACAAACCGGCCAACACCUUGAUCUUGGACUUCCAGCCUCCAGAACUGUCCGCAGCUUGGGCUACCUUCCAGCAUAAAGUCACUAAAGAUGUGCCGGGCAUGAUGAAGGAAGAAAGCGACUACAUGCUGAAGGAGAUGGUGCGGGGACUCGCUAGUACCUAUUGGCAGGACCUGGGGAACUUUGGUGGGUGCUUGAUAAUGGGGACUGGAAUAAAAACUGGCUAAGCAAAAA